rnacentral:rRNA from 1 species
GUGGGGAAUCUUGCGCAAUGGGCGAAAGCCUGACGCAGCCAUGCCGCGUGAAUGAUGAAGGUCUUAGGAUUGUAAAAUUCUUUCACCGGGGACGAUAAUGACGGUACCCGGAGAAGAAGCUCCGGCUAACUUCGUGCCAGCAGCCGCGGUAAUACGAAGGGGGCUAGCGUUGCUAGGAAUUACUGGGCGUAAAGGGCGCGUAGGCGGACAGCUUAGUCAGAGGUGAAAGCCCAGGGCUCAACCUUGGAAUUGCCUUUGAUACUGGCUGUCUUGAGUUUGGGAGAGGUGAGUGGAACUCCGAGUGUAGAGGUGAAAUUCGUAGAUAUUCGGAAGAACACCAGUGGCGAAGGCGACUCACUGGCCCAAUACUGACGCUGAGGCGCGAAAGCGUGGGGAGCAAACAGGAUUAGAAACCCUGGUAGUCC